rnacentral:rRNA from 1 species
CCAUACCACCCUGAACGCGCCCGAUCUCGUCUGAUCUCGGAAGCUAAGCAGGGUCGGGCCCGGUUAGUACUUGGAUGGGAG